CCUACUCACCACUUGUAUGGGGCCCUCUGUAAAGUUAAGAGUUUUAUCCACUCCGUUCAUCUCUUUUCUCGUAUAAUUUUAUGGCAUCUUCUUUAGUGGUGCGAUAGUUUUGGAUCGUCUAGGCGGGGAGUAGGAUGCAACUGAUGCGGAUUUCCUGCUAAAGCUUUUCUAAGAAAGUUUCUGCACAAGGAUGCUGGGUGGGGCCCACUAUAAUGUAUGUGAGAAAUCUACUCCGUCCAUCUUUUUUACUAGUUCAUUUUAGGAGGUGCGACCAAAGUUGAGGUGGAUACAAAACUCAAGUGGGUCACACGAGAGGGAAAACUGAGGAAAGAAAUUUCUAUCGUUGAAACCUAUUUGAGCUCCACCUUGAUGUUUAUAUGCUAUCCAAACUGUUUAUAAGGUCAUUUCCAAUGGGAUGAAUUGAAAACACUAAAAAGAUAGCCUGAUACAAAAGUUUUAUGGCCAUAAUAAUGCUUCAACUAUGCUCACUUAAUGCCCAAUGUUUCCUCUCAUGUGGCCUACUUGAGUAUUGGAUACACCUAAUUUUUGGUCCCACCUCCUAAAAUGAACUCGCAAAACGGAUGGACGAAAUGGAUUUCUCACAUACAUCUCCAUCGGCCCCCCUCAGCAUCCUUGCGUACAAACGCGAAUGGCUUUCGGACGCAAGCCGCUUCCCUCGCCUAGUCCGCUCCCCUGUACACCCCAGACCUCCCGAUGGCCUGGCGACAACGCCCAAAAAUUCCCAAGCAUGGACAAAUCCAAUCCUUAAACACUCAUUCCACUCCUCAUCUCCGUUUGAUUGCGUCGAGCUGCUGGCCACGGGUCCUUGCCCUCAUUUCUAUACUCUUUGUGUGUGUGUGUGUGUGUGUGUGUGUCUCUCUCUCUCUCUCAUUUGAUUCUCAAAUAACCUGGAAAUCAUAAUCCGAAACUCAAAUUUAUCCCUUUUAGCGAUUCUCCAUCAGAUUCUCUCUGGAAUGGUACAAAUCCCACCUAUUUCCACGAAAAAUCCACUUUCCAUGUAGUUUUCCAGGGCAUUUUCAGAAAUUCCCAUUGAAUCCUCCUCCAUCAUUCCCGAUCUAGGUAAAUAAGUGUGAAAUUUUGUUGUUUGGAUUUUCUAGGGUUUCAUAUGAGGAUCUGGAUGGGAGUUUCAUGUCUUAGUGGCGUUUACGGUUUUUAUUUUUUUUUGGGGUAUGGAAGAGAAGCCACAACUGUUGAUACUGUACACUUCACAGACUGGAAAUGCUUUGGAUGCAGCAGAACGUGUUGAGCAUGAGGAAGAGUGCUUGGGCUGUCGUGCCUUGGUCCUCUCCAUGGAUGAAUUAGAUGUGAGGUAUGCCAGAAAACCCAGCUAGAACUUGUACCUUGGAGGCCGAAGAAGGAGCCAUAUGCAUGAGAAUUAACUAUGGGUUCUCUUUGAAGGUCCUUGCUAGCAGGAGUAUAAUCUAAUGAUUUGUUGGUCAGGCUUCAUAUGCAGAAUUCGUUGCAGAAGCACAGGCUUUUGCAUCCCGGAUCAUUGAUCUGAUGGGCCCUCAUGAAGGGACCAUGCACAGUGGAGCAGCAUGACCGUCCGAUCAACCGGCAUCCAACUUUGACACGGUGUUUUUCUCCAAGGUUGCUCUUCUAACUGCUUUUCAUCUCCUACAAGUUGAUCGGUAUUUUCACGCUGGCAGUCUCUACAAGGUUCAAUAAAAACGUGAUUCCUUUGAAGGAGAUUGUAACUUCUUCAGAUUUUCAUAGAGAAAUUGACAAGGACGAUCAAGGUAAUCUAGGUGUGUUUCUCAACAUGGCAUCCAAUUUUGACCUAUGAGAUUAUGAUGGGAUUCAAGGGUGUUUUCAUUAUUUUAAUGGCCUAAAAAAAGUCCAUUUCCUUCAUUAAACUGACCCUUGGAAAUUAGGUGUUUACCAAUUUUCCUUGUCAGUGCUAUAUGAAACAGCUAUUGGAUGGGCUCUGUUAUUGCCGUGCUAAUCAAGUGCUUCAUUGUAACAUCAAAGGCAGAUCAAUUGCAUAAAAUUUAUUUGUUGUGUGUAUCUGCUGAUGAAGACAACUGGCCUGGGGUUUCCAAAUUGCCCAAGUUGCUUAGGUUACAAAAUCUGGAGAUAACGGAUUUGGAUGUCCAUAUCGCCAUCAGUUCCACGAGUGAAAUAGAGAUGUAUCCCUAUUAUUCAAAGUGGUUGAGGGGGCAGUGUGACUUGCCUUUGAAACUUAACCAGUGGUGCAAUGUUGUUCGCUAUCAAUAGUAAACCUUUGUUUUAGCACAAAAGCAUAGUAACUUGAUCUGGAUCCGAUGGACUUGAAGUCUACCCCUCUUUUCGCUGAUCCCGUUCCCACAAACAAGUCGAGAUUGGGCCUGCAUUCUAGUUUGUUGUCUUUCCCACCACUAGUGUUGUCGUUUCCUUCGGCAUUGUAUUUGACGAUUCCCUGGAAAAAGCCGAUACCUGGAAACCCGAUGACGUCCGUGCCAACGAUUGUCUGGAUGCUAUGAAAUCCUCAUCACCUCGCUAAAAGCUAAUCAAGGAUUCAAAUAUCGAGGCCGUGUCAGAUGAAAAUGAUGCUGCGUAUUGCUUGUGGGUGGUCAGUUUAGAUUCUGCUGGUAUCCAAAGCUAAAG